rfam:Picoides pubescens contig11577, whole genome shotgun sequence.
UGCAGAUGAUGUUGAUGUUCUCACGAUGGUCUUCCGAGCCUCGCGGUGAGGAGGCUCUGAGGAGGAGGCCGCAAAGGCUUUGCUGAUGCCUGGCC